rnacentral:rRNA from 1 species
CCUUGCUUCUCUGAUGUUAGCGGCGGACGGGUGAGUAACACGUGGAUAACCUACCUAUAAGACUGGGAUAACUUCGGGAAACCGGAGCUAAUACCGGAUAAUAUUUUGAACCGCAUGGUUCAAAAGUGAAAGACGGUCUUGCUGUCACUUAUAGAUGGAUCCGCGCUGCAUUAGCUAGUUGGUAAGGUAACGGCUUACCAAGGCAACGAUGCAUAGCCGACCUGAGAGGGUGAUCGGCCACACUGGAACUGAGACACGGUCCAGACUCCUACGGGAGGCAGCAGUAGGGAAUCUUCCGCAAUGGGCGAAAGCCUGACGGAGCAACGCCGCGUGAGUGAUGAAGGUCUUCGGAUCGUAAAACUCUGUUAUUAGGGAAGAACAUAUGUGUAAGUAACUGUGCACAUCUUGACGGUACCUAAUCAGAAAGCCACGGCUAACUACGUGCCAGCAGCCGCGGUAAUACGUAGGUGGCAAGCGUUAUCCGGAAUUAUUGGGCGUAAAGCGCGCGUAGGCGGUUUUUUAAGUCUGAUGUGAAAGCCCACGGCUCAACCGUGGAGGGUCAUUGGAAACUGGAAAACUUGAGUGCAGAAGAGGAAAGUGGAAUUCCAUGUGUAGCGGUGAAAUGCGCAGAGAUAUGGAGGAACACCAGUGGCGAARGCGACUUUCUGGUCUGUAACUGACGCUGAUGUGCGAAAGCGUGGGGAUCAAACAGGAUUAGAUACCCUGGUAGUCCACGCCGUAAACGAUGAGUGCUAGUGUUAGGGGUUUCCGCCCCUUAGUGCUGCAGCUAACGCAUUAAGCACUCCGCUGGGGAGUACGACCGCAAGUUGAAACUCAAGAUUGACGGGACCCGC